rnacentral:lncRNA from 1 species
CCAUCUGUCAGAGGUGGUGGCGGCUGUGGGUGGCGGUGGCAGGGUGUGGAAGACGCAUGGAGGUGCCGUCAGCCGUGAGGGAGGUGAUUGCCGGCGAAUGAGUGAUGAUUCAAAGGUUUGUUUGUUGUUUAAGAAUAAAAAUGAUUUUUGAGGUAAGGAGUUUGAGGAUGUCACAAAUUCGCAAUGUAGCUCUUUUUUUUUACAUCAAUUCGCAUGCCACUCUAUUAUUAUUACUGUACUUCACACACUAUCUAGUACUAAUAACUGUUCCAACAAAACACUGCAUACUUAAUGACAUCAUCAUUUUAUCGUUGAAAUUCCAAAGUCUCAUCUCUGUAGAACUUUUUAUUAUAAAUUAUUAAAAACAACACUCAUCUAUACACACUGAGAUAUUAUAUUCAAAUUUAUUUAUACAUUUUAAUCAUAUAAAAACAUAAAUGUUAAUAUAUUUUGUUUUUUUCAAAGAGGGUAAAUUAAUUUUUAUUAGAAUAAAAUGAUUAUUUAUCUCUAAAAGAAUUGAAAUGUGCAGUUGAAAGAAAAGAGAGAUUGUGAAGGAAAGGUGGAAAGCAAAACGACGCAGCAUAGCAUGAUGGCAUGGCAUGGCAUGAUGAGGACGUAGAUUUUGUGAGGAAAAGGUUAAGUGCUUUUCUUGGGUUCUGAAGGUCAAUUAUUGGUUAAUGUUUGCAUGUAGUGAAUAAGAACUAAACUGCUACUUACACAAAGUUUAUUAAUUAAAUUCUGUUCUUACAUUAAAUGCAGAUUUAAGCUAUAUAUACCUGAAAUUAACUCAUCUACUUCCCACUCCACCUACCACCACUACCAUAAUAAUCUCCAUUUAUUCAUUCAGAGUGUCUAUGGUGAGUUUAGAAGGAAAAACAAUACUUUUAGAGAGAAUUUAAAAUAUUUUAUAAAAAUAUAUUUUUGAAUAAUUUUUUAGAAAUUUAUUGAAAUAAUUUAUUUAUUUAUUUAAAAUUAGAAUGUUUUAAUUUCAUUCAUUUUGUUUAUGCAUGUGACAUAUUUUGAUGUGUGCUUUAGAACUAACAUAAAAAUUAGAUUUUUUAUGACAAUUGUAAAAAAAAUAAAAAUUCCUGUGUGAUAUACGUGGAUUUAAAACUUACAUGAGUCCAUUUUAAUACAUAAGGAGGCGAUUCCCUGUCUAACAAAAUAAGCUAUUUUCUUCCCAAAACAGUUUCUGAACUCUAUAAUGAGUUAGUAGGUAAAAAGGUAUGCAAAAUAGGUUUUAUAAAAAAACUUAAAUUGAACUUUAUUAUAACCAUACAAAAAUAUGAUUAAAAUAUACAUGGAAACUUCGAGUUUAUCAACUCAAUAAUGAAUUAAAUAUUGAGAAGAUUUUAUUUGAUGAUUGGAUGAUAUGUAUAAAUUAUCUUAUUUUGAAUAGGACUUAUCAUCAAGUAUUGAUUAAUUUAUUUCCAAAAUUUAUAGAGGAACAAUUGCUGCUGAGACUAUUUCAGUUUUUUUUUAUAAUAUAUUUUAGAUAUUAGAUUCACUUAUCUUAUUUAGUCUCAUUACUACUUUAAGGUCCACAAAAUAAAGCGGGUCGGGUUUCUCGGUCUGCCCUUACCUUACUUAGGUAAAGUGGAUUAAUUUUUUUAAUCUUUCAGUUUGUUUGUUUUUUUAAUUUUGAAUUUUUUUAAAAGAUCUCAUAUUUUUUAAAUUAAGAUCGUGAUCAAUAUUUUAUAUACAUAUAAUUUUAUUUAUAUUAAUUUUUUAUAAAUAGUUUAAUUCAUUAAAAUAUUGUUGAUAUUUAUUUUAUUUUGUUAUGUAUUAGUUUUUUAUUAAAAUAUUAAAGUUAGAUUAAAUUUUAUUAUUCAUUCUUAUAUUUUUAUUAUCUAAAAAAUAAUACUAAUGACUACAAUCAAAUAAAUAGAUUCAAAAUAAAAAAUAAAAAAAAAUUAAAAAAUUAGCAGGUUUCACUAAUAUUUUUGGACAAGACAAAUUACUAAUUUCAGUAUGUAUUUCCUUAACAAUUAGUGAUGAAUCGGAGAAAAACGGAUUUGGCGGACCCGUUUUUCCACCCCUACACAUAUUAUCCACAAAUUUUAACAAAAAAUAAAUCAAACAUAAAAAUUAAAAUAAAUAACAAAUUAAUUUCUUUUCCAAGAAUAUCAUAAUUAUAUAUUGUUAUUGUAUAUGAGAUAGACUUCAUGAUCACAAAGACCUUAUUUAGUUGUUGGAUGUAUGUCCUUGAUUGAAGAUGUGACCUCUUUGGGGUUGAUGUAACUGUAUUUGUUGGGUUUCUAUAUCUUGUAUUGAGAUUUUAUCUUGAUCUGUAGUGCAAUGUUUGUUGGAUCCUUAGUUGGUAGGGUGCUAGAAAAUUUGUUUUUAGAGUUUUGUAUAAGGGUUAAAAUACCCUGAAGUAUCUCAUUUUAUUUUAUUUAUUUUUUGUUGAUAAAAAAAAUAUGAGAUAGAUUUUUCUUCCAGUGAAACAAGUUAUAUCUUCAUCGUCAAUUUUUUCCUUCCUUUAGAUUUCUUUAUUACUACUUUGGCAUCAACUCUUGGUUGAAACAUUACACGUUUAAAUAAGUAUUUUGUAUAUAUGUACAAUAAAUAUUAUAAUAAUAAAAUAUAUUUAUUUUGAUUGUUGUGCAUGUAUAUAUUAUAUGUACAGAAUUUGAUAUUAUGCAAAGGGACAACAUUGUGACAGAGGAAAGCAAAUUCAAUUAGCAAUGGUGAGAGAGAAUAGUCGAACGUGGGUGUGGCCCUGUGGAAAACAACUUUUAGUUCAAACAAAGAAAAUUUAUUGACGUGAUUGAAAAGGAAUUGGCCUAUAUGUAUCCACUAUACUCAUGAAAAAGCACAAUAUAUAUUAUUAAUCAAAUAUUUAUCAUUUCAUACAUAAUUAUUUCUACUUAAAAGUCUAACAUUACAAUCAUCAUCACCAUUGAUUUAUCAUGCAUCACUUGGCUCACCUUAGAUCUUCCAAGAGAUAUUGAUGUAAUAUGCAACCAUAUCUUUUUCACUAUGUCUCAGAUUUAUCACAUAUUUUUAUAUGAAUUUCGUAAAUAAAAUUAAUUUAAAUAUUUCAUUUUUAUAUGUGUAGAUUGUAUAACAACAAAAGAAAGAGAAAUAUCAUCACUGGUCAAUACAACAACAAAUAUGGAAGAAAAGAAAACUCAUAACAAUGAUAUUUUAUAUGACGUUUAGGACUUUCCAAACCAAUAGUUUGAGCGUGUCAAAUUUUAAGGAACAUAUUUUAGAAAACUUUAAUGUAAAGUUUUUAACAAAACGCAAAAGUCGUAAUCUAUUUUUAGGCAAAUUUACAUCUAAUAAUACAUUUAAUUUACGAUAAUCAAUCAAAUAUACAAGGAAUACAAAAUUAAAAAAGAUCAUCACCCUCAAAAUCAAAUUUACAUGCCCCCACUUGAUGAUUAUAUUGAGAUAUGGAAGAAUUGUCAUAUGAUAAAUGCAAUAAAUUAUGGGCUUAUUAUGUUUUGCUGGGUGGAAGCAAGGAGAAAGCCAAAGAUCUUGCAGAAAGCUUGAAGAAACUACCCACAACAUCAAGAUCUAUUUAUUUUUUUUCAUUUGAAGAAGCUUUUUGAGCAAGAGAGAGUGUUUGUCUGGUAUACUGAGGCAAGCUUGGCAUCAUUGCCCAGGUCUGAAUUAGAGAUGGUACUGAAGUCACGCAAGAGGAUCUAAGGAAUAUUUUCAUUGGCAAGGGGUUGCUGAAACUUACUCUCAGUUUUCUUGCUUGUUCUAACCUCAAAAUGGAAGCACAGAAGAAGAGACAUGAAUCUGUCCAAGGUCUUAUUCACCAUACUGUCCAUGAGACGAUUCAACCUGUCAUUAUUUGCUACAGUUUAUUCUCAAAAUCAGAGAGCUUCAAUACUAAGAAAGUAAACAGAGUAAUUCGUAGGGAAAGGAAGAAUUCAAAGUUUUUAACCCAGAAGAUAGACUGGUGUAGUGGAAGUGUAAGCAUGAUAAAAUAUGCCACAUAUUUCUCAGAACCAAUCUCUAUCAGUGCAUUGCUUCAGAAUGUUGACCAUGUUCUUGCACUCUCCGAAGAGGUCCUUUGAAGUCUUAUUUAAUAAUCAAUACACUGUUACAAGUUUGCUUCCUUACCUGUGGAACUUAGCAGUUGUAUGAUAUUGGUAGUCCUCAAAGUAAAAUUAUAAGAAGUCUAUUAAUUUGUUAACUUUAGGAUAAGUCAUUGGGAUUCUCCCAUGGGAUUCAGAAAUGUGAUUUUGAUUUUCAUGCAGACAAAUUUUCCUUUUUUGUUUUACCCUCCUUUUUACCGUAGUUUAAAAAUUAUUCUAAGUUGAGGGGAAUGGAGAAAAGGACUAAUGAAAAUAUAUUGUAUAAACAUAGGAAAAUAAUCUACAUCAACGCUACCAGAAAUGCAUGAAGCAUUUUACAUGAGAAGACAGAUAUGGUCUGCAUCUGAUUGAUGGAAUCAUAAGAAGGGAAUUCAGAAGGAGCUAAAAACGUAAGUAGGCCAACAAAGAGGCACAGACAAUGACCAAAUAAAAAAGAAGAAAGUGUAAGUUAUCUUUCAUUCUUUCUAACAACUAUUGUGUUGAUGAUUUUGUUGCUUUUGUAGUAGUAACAAGGGUUUUGUCAUCACCAGUACAGACACACAUUGGUUGAUAGCACGACCUAACCU